UGAGACAAAUUACUUUUGAGCAGAAAAGUAUUAAGUUGAAGACAAAAGGAGGUGUUUUCUAUUCAUCCCUUGGAGCUUGUGGUAGGAGUUCUGAGCCAUCUAUGGAAGAUUAUCUCUUGUAAUGGGAUGAAAAUGUAUAUGUCCCAAUGUAUGUCUGGGUUCUUCUUGAUCAAGCUGGUGACUCAGACUAUCAGAUGGUGUUCCUUG
rnacentral:lncRNA from 1 species